GUUGGAAUCUGAAUAUGGUGGAUUUUCUAUUCCACCCAUCUGAUAAGGAGAUUUUGAAGAUCCAAAUCAUCUUAAUCCCUAGACCUGAUCGCCAAGUUUGGGGAGGAUCCCGCAAUGGAUCCUUUUCGAUGAAGACAACUCACCAUCUUCAUGAUAACCUUCAUGCUGAAAAAAUCUUCACAACAAGCUUCUUCCUCUCGUUCUCACCCUUGGGAGCUAGCUCCUGCAAAGGUUUGGAAAAGAAUAUGGAGUUGCAAGACCCUUCCUAAGAUAAUAUCCUUUCUUUGGAGAUGUGCCCAAGGUCUUGCUUCAGGCGAUGGACUUCUUUCUCAACAUAUGAUCUCUAACGCUAUUGCUCUACAUGUGGAUGUACUUCUGAAUCCGCUAAUCACAUUUUGCUUAAUUGUCCCUUUGCCAAAGCCAUAUGGUUCAACAACACUUUAUCUUUCUUUCCUUCCGGGUGGAUACUCAAUGCUCCAUGAUUGAUUAUUGAGCUGAGACUUUUUUUGUGCAUCAAGACCUACAAGCUUCUAAAAUAAUUCUAGGAUGCAACUAAUACUAAUCGGACCCAAUCUUCCUACUUAGCUACAAGUGAGAAUCAUUUGAUCAGUCAUUGGAUGCCUCCCACUGGCUUCCUUAAGGUGAAUGGGGAUGCAACGCUUCCUCAUGGCUCUUCUAUAGGUGGAAUUGGGAUGAUCAUUCGUGACCACUGUGGCGCUCAACACUUUGCAACCUCGGAUUGAUUAGUCUCCAACUACAAUACUACUGGAGAGACUACUUCAAGCAGGGAAGGACCUCUUCAAGCCCAAACUCUUGGCCUUACUUACAAACCGAAUCUUAUAGCAGGGAGCUGAUUUCUCUCUUAUUCUCAGCUUUACAUCUCCCCCUCUGCAGGUGGCUCCGAUUAUACAAGAUAUUAAUCUCUUAGCAUCUUAGUUUGAAGCUUGUUUGUUCUUUUAUGUACCAAGAGAUACCAACAAUAUAGUAUAUACUCUUACCCA